UCUUCACACGUUGAUGAGAGGAUCUCAGCUUUCAUGAGAAGUGCCCUGGUGGCUGUCCUUCUGGAGUGGGAGAAUGCUCAAUAUAGCACUGGCCUUCAGAGACAGCAGGCAUGCUACCAAAGCGGUGUGAACCCAGAAGGCCCACCAGGAAUAUGGACAAGCUAUGGAUACUUAUCAGCGCAAUAGCACAGGCUAAACAACAUACCAAAGAUCUGUGAAAGCAGAGAUCAAGAGACAUUCGAAUG